GUACCUGGCUGAAUCCAAGAUUGAGGAUGAUCCAAUGGGGAUACUAGGAACUCUUCCUUGCUUGGUAGCAUUGGAAUUAGUUGAGGAAUCAUUUGUUGGGGAGGAGAUGAGGUGUCCAGCAAACAGUUUUCUUCAUCUCAAGGAGCUAGUAUUAAGUGGUUUACCAAAGUUGAGGGAGUGGAGAGUGGAGACCGGAGCCAUGCCCCUUCUCUCUAAAUUAACAAUCGCAGACUGUUCUUGUUUGGAGAUGCUUCCAGAGGGAUUGACUGCCCUUUCUACCCUUCAGACUCUCACAAUUAAAAGAAUGCCGGAACUGAGGAAAAGGAUAUCACCAUCAGGACAGGAUUUCCAUAAAGUCUGCCAUGUCCCUUCAAUUAUCAUCGAGGUCUAGUCUUCUCCCAGGUUCAAGAACUGUUCAUCUCUGUCACUUUUGGUGUUUGAAGAAAACACUGUACCUUUCUCUAAAGGGUACAUUACAUGGUUAAAUUUCUUCCCCUUCGUGCUUCAGUCUCGUCGUUGCAUUUCUCGAGUGUUCCUCUUUGUACUCUCUUCUCUGGCAGAGAAAUCCUUCGUAGUUAUGUGUUUGUUGGAAUCUUGAUAAUUUAAAGUUGUGUAGUAGUGUGGGUUACUAAGAUACUUAUAUUUGAAAUGACGUAGUGUUUGAAUUGAAAAUAUUGAUGGUUUGUAAUAACUCAAAUGUUGGAAGUGAAGAAUUGUG